rnacentral:rRNA from 1 species
CGGAGAGUUUGAUCCUGGCUCAGGAUGAACGCUGGCGGCGUGCCUAAUACAUGCAAGUCGAACGCUUUGUGGUUCAACUGAUUUGAAGAGCUUGCUCAGAUAUGACGAUGGACAUUGCAAAGAGUGGCGAACGGGUGAGUAACACGUGGGAAACCUACCUCUUAGCAGGGGAUAACAUUUGGAAACAGAUGCUAAUACCGUAUAACAAUAGCAACCGCAUGGUUGCUACUUAAAAGAUGGUUCUGCUAUCACUAAGAGAUGGUCCCGCGGUGCAUUAGUUAGUUGGUGAGGUAAUGGCUCACCAAGACGAUGAUGCAUAGCCGAGUUGAGAGACUGAUCGGCCACAAUGGGACUGAGACACGGCCCAUACUCCUACGGGAGGCAGCAGUAGGGAAUCUUCCACAAUGGGCGAAAGCCUGAUGGAGCAACGCCGCGUGUGUGAUGAAGGGUUUCGGCUCGUAAAACACUGUUGUAAGAGAAGAAUGACAUUGAGAGUAACUGUUCAAUGUGUGACGGUAUCUUACCAGAAAGGAACGGCUAAAUACGUGCCAGCAGCCGCGGUAAUACGUAUGCUCCAAGCGUUAUCCGGAUUUAUUGGGCGUAAAGCGAGCGCAGACGGUUAUUUAAGUCUGAAGUGAAAGCCCUCAGCUCAACUGAGGAAUUGCUUUGGAAACUGGAUGACUUGAGUGCAGUAGAGGAAAGUGGAACUCCAUGUGUAGCGGUGAAAUGCGUAGAUAUAUGGAAGAACACCAGUGGCGAAGGCGGCUUUCUGGACUGUAACUGACGUUGAGGCUCGAAAGUGUGGGUAGCAAACAGGAUUAGAUACCCUGGUAGUCCACACCGUAAACGAUGAGUGCU